AAUAGAGUCAAAAAAAAUAAUGAAGUUCAAAUCAGUCAAAAAAGAUUACGUGAAAUCAGACUAUUGACUGGAUUACUUAAACCCAAUUUAUACCACAUACUUGCUCCUUUGAACCGGGUCCUAUUUGUGCUGAUUAAACUUAUUAUCCUGAGGACAGGACAAAAGAGCCAGGUUACCAAUUCCAAGGAGCUGACUGUCAAGAGUUGGCCAGGAGCUACUUUGGCUGUUGUAAUCGACUUGUAUGGAGCAACGCAAGGAGCAGGGAGAUACUCAGGAAGCCAUCACAGCUGAGGUCAGCUAAUGAGGACCUGGUGGGGCUGAACAAGAGCAGAGAGGGUGAAAAGUGGACGGAGGCUCAGCACACUUGGAUCACAAACACUGUGGACCAUGGUGCAUUGCCUGGGACAUGAGAGAAAGAAGGAGGGGGGAGUCAGGUAAGACACUGACCUAGUAAACAGGAGGCUGGACUUGCCAUGGACUCAGAAGUAGAAGACAGAGUCGAUCAAGUUUCAGGAAUGUCCCUGGCUAGUUUGGGACAAGCUAAUUUUUGAGAGAUCUACCAGGCACUGGAAUUCCCAGGGGAAAUGAACAACUGGCUAUGAGUCUGGGGACACUGCCUUUGGAUUACACAGGGCAGCAUGCCAGCAUGUAGCUAAAGCCAUGAAAGUGCAUGGGAAUGGGAGAAGAGAGGAGAUGACGAACAAGAGUCUGUAUGGCUCUUCAAUCCAGGGGAGAACAGUGGGGAAACUGAGGAUUCCUCAGCAAAGCAGGGUUCCUGAAGACCAAAUGGAGAGCAGAUACAAGACAAUGGAGCGGCCAGUAUCAAAA
rnacentral:sRNA from 1 species